GGAAGUAAAAGUCUAACAAGGUCUCCGUUGGUGAACCAGCGGAGGGAUCAUUACCGAGUUUACAACUCCCAAACCCCUGUGAACAUACCAUUUGUUGCCUCGGCGGUGCCUGCUUCGGCAGCCCGCCAGAGGACCCAAACCCUUGAUUUUAUACAGUAUCUUCUGAGUAAAUGAUUAAAUAAAUCAAAACUUUCAACAACGGAUCUCUUGGUUCUC
rnacentral:misc_RNA from 1 species